rnacentral:rRNA from 1 species
UGGCGGCGUGCUUAACACAUGCAAGUCGAACGAUGAACCACUUCGGUGGGGAUUAGUGGCGAACGGGUGAGUAACACGUGGGCAAUCUGCCCUGCACUCUGGGACAAGCCCUGGAAACGGGGUCUAAUACCGGAUAUGACCCUCGCAGGCAUCUGUGAGGGUGUAAAGCUCCGGCGGUGCAGGAUGAGCCCGCGGCCUAUCAGCUUGUUGGUGAGGUAACGGCUCACCAAGGCGACGACGGGUAGCCGGCCUGAGAGGGCGACCGGCCACACUGGGACUGAGACACGGCCCAGACUCCUACGGGAGGCAGCAGUGGGGAAUAUUGCACAAUGGGCGAAAGCCUGAUGCAGCGACGCCGCGUGAGGGAUGACGGCCUUCGGGUUGUAAACCUCUUUCAGCAGGGAAGAAGCGAGAGUGACGGUACCUGCAGAAGAAGCGCCGGCUAACUACGUGCCAGCAGCCGCGGUAAUACGUAGGGCGCAAGCGUUGUCCGGAAUUAUUGGGCGUAAAGAGCUCGUAGGCGGCUUGUCACGUCGGUUGUGAAAGCCCGGGGCUUAACCCCGGGUCUGCAGUCGAUACGGGCAGGCUAGAGUUCGGUAGGGGAGAUCGGAAUUCCUGGUGUAGCGGUGAAAUGCGCAGAUAUCAGGAGGAACACCGGUGGCGAAGGCGGAUCUCUGGGCCGAUACUGACGCUGAGGAGCGAAAGCGUGGGGAGCGAACAGGAUUAGAUACCCUGGUAGUCCACGCCGUAAACGGUGGGCACUAGGUGUGGGCGACAUUCCACGUCGUCCGUGCCGCAGCUAACGCAUUAAGUGCCCCGCCUGGGGAGUACGGCCGCAAGGCUAANACUCAAAGGAAUUGAC